UUUUAGAUUUUGGAUAAUUCUUACUAUUAUUAAUUUUAAUCUUAUCUAAUAAAAUAAAUUAAAAUUUCGUUUUUAUUUUUUAAUUUAAUUAUACAUUUUAUUCAUUAAGGGUAUAAACGAUAUUAACCACUCUAACUUUUAACGUGAGAGCUCGAUUCCAAAAAUUUACUUCGCAAAUAAUAGUAUAGAUUAUAGGUGUAUCACUAAUAAGAAGAAGAAUAUGAUGAUCAUAUGAUGAUGAAGACUAGUGAUUGUAAUUUGUGUGUUUUUUCUCUCUUUUAGCAUUAGAUAAUUAAUUUUUUUGUUUAAACUAAGUAAAUUAAUUUUACCAUUAGUUAUAAAGAAUAUUUUAUUUCCUCUAUUACAGAAAAGCAUAAAAAAGUAUACCUUAAACGAUUUUUUUGCAAAUAACAAAAAAAACUUUUUUUGGCAUUUGCGCAGGUUUGAACCUGCACUAUAAGAAAGUCUCCCUGACACGUAACCACUUAGAUAUUUUACGAUAUUGAAGGCAGAAAACUAUUUAUAAACCUGAGGCCGUACGUCAAUGCUUCUACCGCUUUCCCUCCGGGCCGGUACUGCAUCGAACAAGAUUUCACCGUAUAAUUAUUUAAGAAAAAUAAAAAGUAUAAGCAUAAUACUUAAAUUAUAUGGUGCAAGUUGACAAAAAAUUUCUACGGUGCAAAAUUCAAAUCGUUACACAGUACAAUCCAAUUGACAAAAAUACAUUUUUAUCAGCUCACAUUUCUUAUUGAUAGAUUUUUACUCAGAGAAAUUAUAAUUUGUAUAGAAGUUUAAUAUCUCUUAAUAUAUCUUAUGAAAUUUAUAAAGGUUGGGGGGAUUUUAAUUGUGGAUAUUUAAAUUUUGCUACGAGUUUAAUACCACUUUUAAAAUUUAUCUUUAAAAUAUUAAAUUAACUGUUAUAAAUUUUUUAAAAUAAUUUAUAAAAUCUAUGUCGCACUGUAACGGAUACGGGGACAUCUACAGGUAUGGAGCGGGGAUGAGAAACGGCUAAACUUAUAAUUUAUGUAUAUGAAUAGAGCAUGGGUACAUAUAUAAAUAUAAAUAUAUAUUUAUAUAUCAUAUAAAUACCAAAUCAUAAUUCUCAUAUAAAAUAAAAAACCAUUAUAAUAUCUUAAAUAAAAUAAAACAUCACUAUAAUAUCUUAGUAAAAUAAAAAAAUAAACUAAUCAUGAAGCAAUUCAUUCUCCAAUUCUGGCUCGUAUGGUGAAAGACUUAGAAACUCCAAAUAUCUCAUAUCUUCCAUAGAAUCAAAAUUAUAUCCACCAACAUGCCACAUCUUUGUCUUUUAUUCUUCGUAUUGUUCAGAUUUCCUUGAUAAAAAACAUAAAUUGUUGUCGAUAAAAACUAGAUCUUGAGCACGGCUUGGAUUCAACAUAUUCCUUCCAAGUGAGUGAAUGAAUGAGUAAUUACUCCAAUUACGCUCAGCACAUAAAGAUACCCUAGGCUGUCCAAGCAACUUAAAAGCCAAAAUCUGUAGGGAAGGAGUUUGGGCACCAACGUUGGCCCACCACUUCUUGGGAUCCAUGGUAAACUCACUGAAAUGCAUGUUAAAUCCUCUAAAUGACCAGUUUUCAUGUAGAACAAAGCAUAUUCAUCCACAAAGACGAUCAUCAAUAUUCAGAAACAAUCUUCGAAAACAUUUCAUUCUCUCACUCGAGACUUCUGGAUCUUUAUGUGGACCAAGUUUCGUAGAAUCUUAACUUAGUCAUUCAUCACUAUACAAUCUACAAUACAAAAACAUGUUUUAUAUGAGGCAACGAAACAAAAAAAAAUACAUAGUUUAAAAUCAUACACCUUUGAUUUAAAGAGUGAGCUAGACAAUACAGAGGAGUGUUGUUUUUUGCCCAACGAGCCAUUAUAAUCUCAUAAACAACCUUGUAGAAAAGACUAACUUCAAACGUUGGGCGUUUCUGUUUCUUAUAUAUCUCAAACUUCACAUUCUCAAUCAUAGAAUCCCACAUCUCAUAUACCAAAUGAAGGCAUGUAUUUUCAGUGUCACAAAACCUUAUCAUCACUAAUAAUCUUACCUUUAAAGAAAGUUGCUUUCCCCACAUCAUCUUCUCUAUAAGUAGACCACUUCUCACUUAUGACCAUAGCUUCACGGUCUUUUUUGAUAAGCUUCAGUCUCUUAAGCAUCACAAUGAUAGAAGUAAAACGUGUAUCAGCAACUACAAAUAAUUUGAGAGGAGAUCAUUUACUAAAGAUUACUAUGGAAUUAGACAUGCUAUUAAUGUAGGGAUUUAUGUCUCGAGGUGGCAAAAAUGAGAGCUUGAAUUCCGCUUGUGGUUCAUGAAAUUUUUUAUUGCAAUGUAUCUCCAUAAACAUCUGUUAUCCAAUUGCAUUUUUCAUAUGUUGCUUCAUUCUUCUCCACGUUGCUUAUUGCACAAUGUUUCUUAAACCAAUACAUAUUACAUGAGAAGCUUCUCACGUUUUUCUAUAUACUAACCUGAAAGAAAAAAGAAAAACGUGAGAAGCUUGUAUAUAGACAAAACAGAAUACAUAUUACUUAAAACACAAAAUAAAAAGACAAACGUAACAGUAUGAUCUGUACGUAAGCUGAGAAAGAUGAAACAUGAGAAGCAUAUAUAAACUUGAAACAACACACAAGCGUAAAAAUUAACAAACCAAAAAACAUAAUUUGUAAUAGUACUUCUUAAUGUGUUUUCCUUAGACGUGAGAAUUGACAAUUGAGAAAGAAGAUGAAGAGAAUAAGAUUUUGUCUUAGAUUAAGAGAAGAUGGAUUAAAAUUUUGUAACCCUAAUCCUUUAUAUAAAGAUGUGUUUCUUUUUUUCAAAUUUUUCCAAAACUAAAAUACAUUAAAUGUAAAUGAUCAAUCUUUUACAUAAAUGAUACUAGGUUUACAUCAUAAACAUUUCAGACACAUUUCCAAAACCUAAAUACACAGUUCCUAAAAACCUUUACCGUCCCCACUAUCUCUGAAACAUUUCAGAAUCAUCCCCACGCCAUCCCGGAAGCGCAACUGGUACGUGAGACAGCAGUGAAUUGAUGUUCAUGUGGUUCAUAGUAUAAAACAUUUAUAUAUGUUUGUAAGCUCAACUCACCCUUAAUUACUAAAACCUAAACCCAAUCAAUUUUUUUAUUUUAAAUUUGAUACCACUUUACAAAUUUACCCUUAAAAAUUAAUAGUUUUAUAAAUACUUUAAAUUUGUGAUAAAAUAACUAAAUUGAUCCUCUUAAAUUUAUAAAUUUGUCAUCUUUGAUUUUAAAUUUAUAAAUGUGUCAUCUUUGAUUUUAAAUUUAUAAAUGUAUCAUAUUUGAUUAAAGAUAGUUUUAAAAAAUGAUAGCCAAAUUUAUGGUAUUUUAAUCAAGUUUUAUAAAUUUUUUCAUUAUAAUAUUUAUUAAUUAAAAAUAAUUAUUAAAAGUUCAACUUUUUUAAAAUAAGAAGUUUUAGUAAAAUAUAUAUAUAUAUAUAUAUAUAUAUAUAUAUAUAUAUAUAUAUAUAUAUAUAUAUAUCUGUUAUAUGUAAUUAAAAUAUAUUUAUAAAUAUCACAUAUAAACUUCAAUUUAUUAAUAGCAUUCAUGUGACUAAAUCUGUUAAAAUAUUAUUUAUAAAUGAGAAACUUCUCAAGUACUAUUAUAAGAAAAAAAAACUAUAUUUUCAACAUAUUUAAAUAAUAUUAAAUAAAUGUAAUAAUUUAAUAUAUGUAUAUCUAUAUUUGAAAAUAAUAUUUAAAGUUACUACAUACAAAAAUUAUGGAAACGCAAUCUGACACUAGACAAUUAAUUUUGGAUAAAAUUUCAGUUUCCCAAGAGAUGUUCCACGGGUUACGAAUAAACAAUUCGUGCAAAGAAAAAAUUAUGGCAACUAAAAUGUACAUGAGUAAAGCACAUAUUAUCUAGAGAUUUCAGAAAAUUUAGGUAGAUCAAAGACACACAUUUUGGUUUUCUCAAUGAAAGGAUCAACAAUAAAGUGAAAAGUUGGAAAAUUCAAUUUCUUACGAAAAGAAGAAAAUAAGUACUUACGAAAUCAGUGUUAUCAGCUAUGUCCACCCAUGUUAUGUCAUGUUUUCGACAACAAAAAAAAAUAAAAAAAUUGUUAAGUGGAGUAUCAGCGGGAAUCAUACAUGUAUUCAUUGGUUUAAUGGGAUACUAUGUGUAGGGAAAAAUAAAAUGAGGAAAUUGGCUUUCGCGAAUUACAAGAUUUUAAUAUUGCUUUAUUAAACAACUAUAAAGAUUGAUGAACAAACUCGAUUUUUUAUUUGCGAAAGUUUUUAAAGGAAUAUAUUAUAGGAAAUCAGAUCUUCUUGAUCCAAUUAAAAUCAUAUUUCCCUUCCUAAAUAUGGAGGAGUAUUACUUCACAUCUCAGUAUGGAACUAUCUUAGAUUCAUGCUUCUCGCCAAGGUCAGCAACACCAAAACAUCAACACCAAUUUUGAACCCGCUUUUAGGGUAAAAAAUCUGAUUAAUCCGGUAAGUAUUUCUUAGAAUGUAGAUUUACUCAAUGAAUACAUACACCCGGAUGAUGUUAGAAUUAUUUACAGUAUGGCAUUUAGUCGUUUUGCUAAUCCAGAUUCAUAUGGAUGGAACUUUACGGUGUCGGAAAGGUAUACAGACAGGUUAUAAAACAAAAAAAAAAUUCAGAUAAGGGUUUAGUUCAAGAAUUUGAUGGUGAUGCAAAGAAUUGAUUCGCAUUUUGUUGGAAGUUAUAAUGUUCAUCAAAGUUAAGGCAUUUUCCUUAGCAAAUAAUUUCGGGUAGGCCAUCCUUUACAAAAAAAUGAGAUCUCAUGGCAUAAAAUGUGAUACUCAGUAUAAAUCAUGUUCUAUUAAAUGUCUUCCAACAUUAAAAACUUGGACACUAUCAAAAAAUUCUUUAAACCUGGGAGUUUUUCUAAAUCCAUCGCUUUUUGCAAAUAUGAAUUAUCUAAUUUGGAGGUUAUCUAAAGUAUCUGACUUAAGCUUUAUUCACGAUUUUGUGGUAUAUUUGGAAGGGCAGAAUUAAAAAGGUUUAUAAUAAUAAAAAUGGAAAUCCACCGAAGAUAAUGCUCGUCGAUGAAAUCGAAGGAGCGUUAUGGACUGAAAUACAAUUAAAAGAUUUAAAGGUUGUCAAGGAUUUAAUUCCACCUCAAAAAGAUAGUGUACCCUACCUGAGUGUAAAUAUGAUAGAUAUCAUGUGGUGUUUUGUGGAUGGAACAUGAAAAAAAAGAUGUUUUUACAGAAUAGAGAUGGUUUUGUACUAAAGAAGGUUAACUGACAGCAUGAAGGAAGCCAUGGAUAUCUAAUGAAGUCUAUCAUCUUUACAUAGAGGAUGUAAAGCUUUCAUUUGUGUGGUGAAGUGUAUGAAGACCUAUAAUGUUAAAAAAAUGGUGUUUGCAACAAAUUAUUCUUAACCGAUGAAAAUAUUGUUUACACCAACAGAAUGGCAAGUGUUUUCUAUUCAUAUGGAAGAAUUUAAGGUAAGUAAAAAUUUCUUUCCUAAUUUCUCAAUCCAACUUAUUCAAAAGACAAAAAUAAAUACAAUGACUUGAUAAAUUGAUAUGUGGCAUCGAAAUUAGCCUUUCGCUAUAGUUUAUAACCAUCAUUGUCAAGAUAAAAACAGUAAUGUUAAAUAUUUUAAAGGGAAACUAGACUUUGACCCGCGCAACCGCGCAUGUGUUUACUUUCAUUUUUAUAUACGUAAAAAAAAUUUACAUUGUUAAUGGUAAAUAUUCUUAGCAUUAACCAUAUAUUCAAGCGUUUAUGAAAUCUAUUUUGUCAAGAUUCGAUUAAGGAAAUCUAUAAUCUAAACUAUUAAAACAAGAGUACCAAAUAGUACUUAACCCUGAGUUUUACUAGGGAUGAGCGCAAGGGGGGUACUUGCUUUUUUUAUGUAUACUUGAUACUUGGCUUGCUUUGAACGAGUAAUGAAUUAUUGGACUUGUACUUGACUUGUUGGAAACGAGCACUUUUUAUUUCGAGUACUUGUCCAAAAAUAUGUUACUUGCAAGUUACUUGCCUUGUUCGAUUACUUGCUACUUACAAGUAUUUAUUAAUUACUUGGAUAUAUUUCCAAGUUUCUAAUAAAUAAUAUUUUACUAGAGAAGGUUAUUAAAGUUUGUUUUAUUUACUUGACUUGGUAAAAAUAUGAGAGUUAUUUUAAAUUAAAUAUUUGCGCCUAAUAUAAAAAAGAAGAAGAUGGAGUUCAAUAAGAAAGUAUUGUUUACUUCUUACAACAAAGAAAUAUAUGUUUAGUGUUUUGGUUUUUAUGGUUUAGUUAUCAUUUUUUCAGCCGUAAAACAAGUAAGGAGUAAUAUCAAGGCGAGUCGUAACUUUUUUUUGUUAUACUUGUUACUUGCCUUAUACUUGCAAGUAGCAAAACUCAACGACUUGAUACUUGACUUGGCAACGACGAGUACUUGAAAAAACGAGACGGGUAUGGGUCAAGUAGCGGGUAUAAGGCAAAUAACGAGUGUUCGUGCCCAGCCCUAAUAAUUACAAAAGAAUGCCACUGGGAUUUUUGUCAUUUUGCUAUAAACCAUCCAAAAUCGAUUUCUUUCGUUACAUCUUCAAUCGUUACAUAAAACCAAGCUAAACCAAAUACAUAUAACUUAGUAUAUCCAUAUUUAGAAAAUGACAUUAGACCUCUCCUUACCAAACCGAACCUCGGUUUCAGUUGGUCCGACAACUUUGAUUACAUCUUCAAUUGUUACAUUAAACCAACCUGUUUACAUAUAUAAUAAACCAACUCGAGUCAAUUGUUCACAUAACCACCAAUAAAUCAAUAUUGUUUAAAUUUCAGCCUAAAGUUUGGUUAUGUAAUGGAAUUUGAUCCCAGUUUGCUGUAAAAUAUUACCAGACCUAAACCUAAGUGUACAUAUUACAUUUGAACCGAUAAUCACCAACUACAUAAUCUGAAACUCGGUUUUUCAAAAAUAAUACUAAAAUCAAUGAUAUUCCAUAACAGAUCCUAUGUUUAAGCAAUUACCUCCGAUAUCAAUCUUUGAAAUAAUAUAGAUAUGCACUUACCUAAUUUAUGGAAUAUUCCUUCUCAAUAUAUACUAUCAAAUAAUUGGAAAUGAGUCGAUUUUUUUCAUUAAUUACAAUUUCCUUAAGAACCAAUAUUCAUUAAUUACAAUUAACUCGGUUUUUCAUAUUCCACAUGCCUAUUUGUAAGCAACUCUAAAUAUAUGAAUAUUCCUUUUAUGAUACAAAUCUAAAAAUCUAAUCGGAACUAACCAAAUAAGUUGAGCUAUUAAAACUAAAAGAAUGUUUAUUAAUAACUUCAGAAUACAUGUAUUCCUUAUACAAAACGUGUUAAUCACGUUUGACAAUAAAUCAGUUAGGAUUUUCUAUUUAACCUACACACAAGGACCAUCGAUAUAUAUAUACUAGAUCCCUGGCCGCGCUACGCGCGGAUUGUCCUUUAGUUAAUGUGUUAGUUGAUGUUUUCCAUUGGUCUGACACUAAAUUUAAAACACAUCUUUCAUAUAAGUUUAAUAUUUGCACAAAAAUUCUGAAGCGAAUUAGAGUUAGAAUUUUUGAAUACAUCAAAAAAGAAAGAGUGAGAAAUAAAGCAUAUAUAGUGAUAUGAGGGGUUUGUAGAUUUAUUUAGAGAAACACAAAAAUUAAAAAAAAAAUCACAAGAAAGAAAGUUGGCAGUGUGUAGCUUUAAAAAUAACAUUAUUUAUGAGACUAACGUGAAAAAUAUAAAAAACAUUCAACUUAAUACUAAACCCAACCAUCGAGCAUUUUGGUAUAUUUUUUAAGAUAUUAAUACACGUGAAAAUAUACUUAAUGAAGUAGAAGUUUGGACGGGUAAAUCAAAUAUAGCAACAUGAAUACAGUAAAAAAAUCUAUAAAUUAAUAAUAUUAAUGAUAUUUAAUUCAUGUAUAAAAUUAUUAUUUUAACAAAAAGUUUAGCAACAGCUUGUUUAUUGCAAAGGUGAAUAUUUGCAGUAUGACUGAUUGUCUUACCACAUCCAGUUGUAAAGUUUUUUAAAGAAUGAACAUUUAAACUUGAAAUGAGGUUUGGCAAUAAAAAAUCUCUAGGUUGUUACCAGGAAAGUAUGAGAUAUCACCAUCUAAAUUUAGUAGUUUUUCAACCCACACAAUGCAUAAAUUGUUUUACUAUAUUUUUACAUUGUACUUCAAACUAUUUUAUUGAAAAAGUAAUAAAAGUUAUAAUUUGAGUUUAAAUUGUAAAAAGCUGAUUUGAACAUUGUUUUUUAGUUAUAGAAGAUUAUACAUAUAUAUAUAUAUAUAUAUAUAUAUAUAUAUAUACACAUUUUUCUUCUAAUUUUUAGCAAUGUAUUCCUUAAUAUACUUUUGUGAUCGGUUCUUUAAUUCCCAGGUUUGUUACUUGAGUGAUAGAGUGAGGAGUAAAACUUGUGUUGUUAUGGUUUGUUUAUAAUUUCCUUGGUUCUCUAUAUGAAUUCCAGAGGUAUUUGUUGGUGUUAUAUAAAUAAUCAACUUUUUCAUUGUGAUUUUUUCGUUUAAUCUGCAAAUUAAAAACUCUGUCACGGAAUUAUUGUUUUUAUUUUUUAAUUAUCUAGAGUUGAUUAAUUACUGAAGAGUUUAGGUUAUACAGAGAAUGUGGAUGAUUGAUUGGACUGUAACUAUAAAUGUUUAACGGUAAAAUUUAUGAUGUAAAUGAUUUGGAUGUAGUUUGUAAAUUAUUGAUAUAUGUUUUUUGGUAAAUUUUUCUGCUGUAGUGUAAGUUUUUCUUUGAUCAAGUUAUAUCACAUGAAUUUUUUUUUUGUAGUGUAAGUUUAUAACACAUGAAAGAGAGGAAGAUAGUUGUGGUUACUUUGUUUUCCUGUACUUCACUCUUACAUCUUAUGUAGGGAGAUGUAAUACGAAUUUUAAUUAUUGUAAUCCCAUAUAUUUUAAUAUCUUUAUAUAUAAAGUUGACUUGUCUGCCUGCUCCUGCUGCCACGUCACUCUCCAGAGAAGGGCAAAGCAUGCCACGUGUUUACGAUUCUUUAACUAUCUCAAAGUGCUUUCUCGAUGAAGAUUGUUUAACUGAUUUAUGCAAUGGGCUUUUAUACUCUCUAAAGUUGGCCCAUAUAUAUAAAGUUGACUUGUCUGCCUGCUCCUGCUGCCACGUCACUCUCCAGAGAAGGGCAAAGCAUGCCACGUGUUUACGAUUCUUUAACUAUCUCAAAGUGCUUUCUCGAUGAAGAUUGUUUAACUGAUUUAUGCAAUGGGCUUUUAUACUCUCUAAAGUUGGCCCAUAAGUUAAUAGGGUACCUUUGUUGUCGAUGAUAGAAUAGCAAAGAAGAACCGCCUGACCCUUCAGAUGACACCGCCUCCUGAUCACGCUUGCGUAACGGCUGCAAUUAUCAUUUAUCUCUACAUUAAUCCGAUCAUUUACGUCUUUUGCACCACUCACCCCUCUCUCUUUCUCUCUUCUUCCUUCGCUUAUUAACUUCAUCAAUUUCGGCCGGUUGCAUAUCCGAUGGAAUCGAGGAUAGAAGUCUUGGCUGCUCUGUAUCGGUUAUCAAGACGGUGGUCUCGGCUGAAGAGAAAGAGGAAGCUUGUGAACAGACUUAUGGGGUUCAUGCCGUGUACUUAGACGGCGCUUGGUAACGUGUUUUUGCUUUUGGUUUAUGGGUUUCUCAUGUUCACGGCGGUAACAUAUCGAUCUGCCGGAAGUGAGCUUCUUCUCUAGAUUGGCCCUUGAAUCGUCAGUGGUUUGUUUUUUCCCAUGCUCGGAGUACUCCCUGAUGCUAUGCUUAUUAUGGUGUUUGUUUCAGUCUCUGUGGGAAUGGGUUUGCUCGCUGGCUCUUCCGUUACGCUUCUUACUAUUGUCUGGAGAACUUGCACAGUUGUUGGCAAGUGUGCCAUUCGUGAUACUAUUGCUGUAAACAACCAAGACACUAGAAGCUUCCAUCUUAAAGGUAACGAGAAAGUGCUUAUGUCUUAUUGAUUGGAUGCUUCAUUUUUUCUGUUGACUUAUAUAACUGUCAUCGUUGUUACCUCUGUAUCUGUAGAUUCUGGUGUUAAUGUUGAUGUUUGGACCAUGUGCUUAUUCAUCAAUGCAGUUGUAAGAAAAAAUUGUAGCAGAAACGUUGAAACAUCUGACCAUGGAGAUCAUUGGUGCUAGGAGGAAGAAACUUUAUGAAGCAACAGUGUGGGUUAAGCCAAGGAUGAACUUCAAGGAGUUAUGCCGGUGAUAAUGCCCCUGCCAUUACUCCCUCCUAUCUUGGCUGCAAAUAAGAUGAUCAUAAAUCUUGGAGGGAAGUUCCACGAGAUGAUUCAGUACAAUCAUUUGCUGAUCAUGCUGUCAAGAGCAUCCAAGACAGAUUUAACUCAUUGUUACUUUCGUCAAGUUCCCGUUAUGGUAUGAUUCAAGUAAACUAAUGCUCACUGACGGUACUGAGGCUAUAAUUUCCUACUAAACAUCAUAACCAAAGGAUUUCUUUUCUGAUUGUAAAGUAAAAUGAGAACCAUUGGUGUGUUUUUCUUCCUUUCAUAGCCACUGUUUUGGGAUGAUAAUUGACACAAUGAUUUGGCGGUUUGUCUAUUAUUCCCAAUAUUUUCCAAAUGUGAUGCUAGCGUUAACUUUUCCACAUGUUUUUCAAAACGCAGCCGUUGUCUCUGGCUCUGAUGUGCUGUGUGCUUUGGUGUUGUACGGGAGUGGUGCUUUGAGAUUAAACUUAAACACCUCCACUUCUCAUGCUGUUGGUGAUCCAGGUCAAUAAAAAGUGUUCCAAAUGUAGGUGGCUUCUCUCCCACCAACACACUGCCACCAAAAAGUGAGAACCCACCCAAGAAAGUACAAAUAGUUUAAUUCCAGGCAGAUGCCUUAUUUGAUCACAAAUUUUUUUCUUCGUAAAUAAUGCUUUAUCAACCCUUUUAAAAUUUAUAAUAUCUCAUCAUGUCCUGUCUGUGUUUAGUUUUUCAAUGUAAGCAUAUAUGGUAUCCAUAAUUUUACCGGAUCACAAUUGUUAAGAAAUUUUGCUUAAGUCUUUUCUUGUCAUACUGAGGCGUUCGACAUUCUAUUUAAAGGUUACAAGUCUAGCAUAAUAUGCUUGCGCAUAUAUACUUGCAAAACAAGCGAUACCAAAUCAAGAUAUCUUUUUAUUUUCAUAAUUGCUGAAAAAAAAGAAAAAACUAUGAAGCUAAUAAACACAAUCUUGUUCACCAGGACAUCUCAUUAUGUUAUCUCUUACAAGAUGAUUGUAAAAUUGACUUAUGUAUCGAGCAACAACAAAACAAAAUACAGCAAAGUAUGCUUAGUUUCUAAUAAGAUAUUCAAAUUGCAUUGCUGUCUCAAGAAGACUACAAACUAUGCCAAUAAUAUCUUAAGCUGCAUCAACUUUUUUUUAACAACUAAAACUUAUGUAAAUAAAUUACAUAAAUACAUAUAUAAUAAUGAAAAAUACCAAAUAAAAUAACUAAAAUGAUGAGGGAGUUUCUUGCGAACUUGCAACCUUUGUCGCAUUUGGAAUAUCAGUUCUCUUUGUUGUAUUACAUUGGUCUAAUCCCAAUUUGGAUCUAUUAAUAUUCUUUGGUUCAGAAUCCAGUGUAUUGAUUCAACCGUAAAAAAUAAAAAUUGGAAUGACCAAUUUUCAACGAUUGUAAAGAUAUUACCAUACAACAAAGAAACUACAUGCUUCAUGGAUGAUGCAUUCCAUGAUAACAAAUAUUUUGAUACCUAAUAUAUUUCAGUCUCAAACAUGUUAUAUAAUACUUUAUUAAUACACAUAAUAGUUCAACUAUGAACCAAACAUAUAUCCACCAGAAUAGUUAUUAUUCUUUACAUGUAGAAUCAGAACAUAGUAAUACAAUCUUUUAUAUCCACGCCAUUAUCAAAUACAACAAACACAUUUCAUAAAAAAUACAAUAUCAGCAAAACAAAAUACACAUGUGAAUAACACAAAUAUCAAACAACCACACAA